rnacentral:rRNA from 1 species
GAUGAACGCUGGCGGCGUGCCUAAUACAUGCAAGUCGAGCGAGCAGACGAGGAGCUUGCUCCUCUGACGUUAGCGGCGGACGGGUGAGUAACACGUGGAUAACCUACCUAUAAGACUGGGAUAACUUCGGGAAACCGGAGCUAAUACCGGAUAAUAUAUUGAACCGCAUGGUUCAAUAGUGAAAGACGGUUUUGCUGUCACUUAUAGAUGGAUCCGCGCCGCAUUAGCUAGUUGGUAAGGUAACGGAUUACCAAGGCAACGAUGCGUAGCCGACCUGAGAGGAUGAUCGGCCACACUGGAACUGAGACACGGUCCAGACUCCUACGGGAGGCAGCAGUAGGGAAUCUUCCGCAAUGGGCGAAAGCCUGACGGAGCAACGCCGCGUGAGUGAUGAAGGUCUUCGGAUCGUAAAACUCUGUUAUUAGGGAAGAACAAAUGUGUAAGUAACUAUGCACGUCUUGACGGUACCUAAUCAGAAAGCCACGGCUAACUACGUG